GGAGUUAGCCGGUGCUUCUUCUGUGAGUGAUGUCCUUCCUGCCGGCUAUUAACCCGCAGGCCUUCUUCCUCACUGAAAGUGCUUUACAACCCGAAGGCCUUCUUCACACACGCGGCAUGGCUGGAUCAGGGUUGCCCCCAUUGUCCAAUAUUCCCCACUGCUGCCUCCCGUAGGAGUCUGGGCCGUGUCUCAGUCCCAGUGUGGCUGAUCAUCCUCUCAGACCAGCUACGGAUCGUCGCCUUGGUGAGCCGUUACCUCACCAACCAGCUAAUCCGACAUAGGCUCAUCCGAUAGCGCGAGGCCCGAAGGUCCCCCGCUUUCCCCCGUAGGGCGUAUGCGGUAUUAGCCUGGGUUUCCCCAGGUUAUCCCCCACUACCGGGCAGAUUCCUAUGCAUUACUCACCCGUCCGCCGCUCGCCACCAGGGAGCAAGCUCCCCGUGCUGCCGCUCGACUUGCNUGUGUAGCNCGCCGCAGCGUCAUCUGAGCGAGAUACAACUCUGA
rnacentral:rRNA from 1 species